GGUCGCCGCCACCGGACGUUGACUCCAGCGCCUCUCUAGCUCCGUGCCCAGCCCCGCGCGCCUCCCUGACACAACGUCGCCUUCAAGCGCUGCCACUCCUAGGCCCACGCCCCUGCCCCCGACUCUGCACCCCUGCCUCGGCGCCGCUCCAGCAGCCUCCCCUUCCAUGUGCCCCACCCGCCCGCAUGCAUCGACGCCCGCACGACAACCUUUCCCCUGUGCCCACAAUCUCAACCAUCCGCGUGAGAACAAUCGAUUACGCGCCUCCAAUCUCCUCCAUCCGGCGGACGCAAUCUCCUCCAUCCUCACUUCCCGCAGUCAUUCCCGUGCUCGCCCCGCUGCCGCCCGCCGCACCCCACCACAAGCAGGAAGCAACCAACACGUGAGGUCCCUCCCCCACUGCUUAGAGCGAGAAGUCAUCCCCCACUGAAAUAGUUAAUUAUCUUGCCAAGCUUUUUUUCCUUUCUUUUUUUGUGUAAGUGCGUAAAGGCAAUAUCUUCUUAUCACCUGAGGUCCGAGGAUCAUGUACAGAAAUGAGUUCUCACUCCACGUUUCACUUUGAGCGGCCGCCUAGGUCUUCAUGUGUGCCCCCAAGGUCCUGAGUCACGACGACACAAGGCAUCACAAGGCUCAAGGUCAGAACCUCAUAAACAAGCUGAAAAUAAAAAAGAAUCAUCAUCGGUUCAAGGUUAGAACUGAAUCUAGACAUCGAACAUCUCAUUCAGUUAAAAAGAAGGAAGCAUCUCUUCAGAUAUGCUGCUCUAUGUAUAACCUGUACACAAAUAGAACUAAUGGUCUAUUCUAGAAUGAAAAACUAAAUUAAGUUGUACAAGAACAUGUUAAAGCAAGUCGUGGUUCGCCAGUGCUGUCAGGUUUAGCUGGUACUCAAUGGAAAACACAUCUCCACCAGGUAUACUAGAGAUCUGUUAUGUUAAUUACCGAUGAUCUACUUUCAUUAACCUUAGAACCAUAUUUGGAAAUGACUAGGUGAAGAAUUUUAUGGCUACGUGACACCACCAAGUGAUCUUGUAACUUGUAAGUAAAUUUCCAGUGAACAUUUGCCAUUCACUAAAACAACUGCCAUUUCUACCAACAAGUCUGUGGCCAUAUUUCCAGUGAGCAUCUUCCAGGGGUCCACCCAUAGCCAUUGCUCUCAAUGGGUCUAUAGUCUGAAAUCUCAACAAAUGAAAGAAACUCAAAACGUAUCUAAAUGGGAUCCAAAUACCUCACACAUAAGUGUGUUCUUAUUUCUAUCAGAACAGCAUAUAUAAAAUAUUUCAGAAGACUUGGUCUUAAACUUGCACUGAAAAAAGCUAUUCUAAACACACAAACAGAAAAUUAUGCAUAUGGUGAUCAGUUCCAAUAUUCCAUACACAAGCUACUGGUAUUAUAUGAACCGCGAAGCAAAAGGUAAAGCAGAAACAGAAUGAUAUGCUUGGUAACUUGGAUUAUUAGUAUCAGAAAGUUACCGCUAACGAGAGUGUCAACAUUUUGGUUUUCAUGAGACUAAGACAGACUUGUGAAAAUUUUACUCAAACAAAAAGGCUCCCAACACCUUGGAUAUUUUAGGGUGUCAGCACGCCUCAGUUGUCAAUGGGAACUUUCAAUACAAAUUCAGAUCUAGAAAUUUCAAGUAGUAAAGCUAUGCAAAAAAAAUAAUUCGCUUUAAAUGCCCGAGAUAAUAUUAAUCUGCCUCAAAAGUUAUUCAAAUCCAUCCCAAUCAGCAACUCGCUCCAUGAGUGGUAAACUGGUAACUGUACCCUUAAAUAUGCAUUCCCCAAUUCCCAUAACACCUAUAUUUCCUGCCUGCGAACCAGACAACCAAUCAAGAGCUUUCAGAAAACCCUUACACAAGAAUUGCGCAAGUAAUCUCCAACUAAACAGGCCUUAUGUGGGAAAGUAACUCAUAGAUCAGUCAGCACUUACCUGAGAAGAUAAAAUUCUGUUGAAAUCUUCAUACUCUUUCUCAAUAUUUCUCAAAGCACCUCCGUAUAGUGAUGCUGCUUUUCUAAGGGCUUCGUCGCUUGCAUUAUUUUCGCUUCCAUAUCUAUAGCAGUCCUCAGAAAAUUUUGUUCCUAUGGCCAAAAGAAAAAAAUAGAUGCAGUUGUUUAACAAACUAUUUCAUAGAUAUUGAAUUUGGAGACUUGCAUACAGGUGUAGCAGCACACACUACAAAAAGAAAAGACAAAUAAACUGAUUACAUCCUAUUUGAAAUUCAUGAGUUUUUAACUAAGCUAAAAUAGCCUCUAUAAAAUAUAGUGGUGAUAACUAUUGAAAAUAGUAGUGGUUCCUUCUCAAGAUGGAGGGUGUAUGAUAUGAAUUUACCAUCCUAGAUAGCUGCAGACCCUGCAGUCACAAAUGACUAUUCUAGCUCAAAGUAUCGUAGUACACUAAGUUUUGGAGGGUAGAUAUCCUAUUUCUAACCCUAACUAAUGGCCCUACUAUGUGAGAAAAUGUAAAUACAACAACAAAAACUAACAAUGUAACUUUCUUUUGCUCUGAGGAAAUCUCAACCUGACAAAAUUAACCAAGGAUAACUGACAUGAGCCACAUAAGCACAUACCCACUUCAAUAUGUUUGUUUCCAAUAGACACCAAACCUUCAGCUGCUCUAACUAUGUCCUUCUGGAAAUCCUGUUAGAGUGGAUACAUCACAGAAAUGUAACUGCCAUCAUGAACUCAGUAAAGGGUAUACCGCAAUCAUAAAAUAUUCACUUUCUUGGAAAAAACACUUAGAAAUGCACUGAAUAUACAAAGACUAUGUUUGAUGUAUAUUGAACAAUGCAAAUGCAACAUCAGCUUUUGGCCAGGUGUUCACAUCAAUAGAUUAGUCAAAAGGGCAUAUAUAAUUCUCCCCUUCUUACCCUUACAGAACGAGUAGAAGUAUACAAUUUCUCAAGCUGUUGAUGUCUCUGUAGUUCAACCUCAUCAAUUACAAUGGAAUCUGACCGCUCAUAGCCAGUAGUACUGAACUGCUUUAUAACAGCCUGAAAAAAAAUCACAAAUGUAAGAAAGGAAAUGAUUGACCUCAAAGCACUAGUGAACAUUGCAACCACAAAUCUGUUGCUUCAAAACAGUAGCUACCUACAAGGCUAUAGCUGAUAUCAUUUUAAAGUUCUCAGCAUCUCAAUUUGUGAUAUGAUAGUUGUUGCGUCCACUGUGUGAUACAUACAGAAGAACUCAAGAGUAAUAUUUUAAGGAGGUUCCUAUAUCCUGUGGACAUUUGUAUUCGAGGUGAAUUUUUUCAUAUCAAAGAAAUUCAAGCUGUAAUUUAAUGAUUUCUGGAUCUGCUACUGCACUUGAAAACAUAUGCUAAGCAGCAUAUUUAUUGACCCAAAGAUAGAUAUCAUAUAUAUUCGCAUAGUAUUAUCAUUUUAAGUAUGCCCCAAAAGAUUAAUAGGGCAAAUAAUUCAUUGUUCAAUUUUUCUGCACACAGUUCUCACUCCACGUUUCACUUUCACUGUUAAAUAGUACUGUAUGGCAGCAACCCUAUGCCCCACAAGAAAACUAAGCUGUUGUAUGGCAACAAUAUUGCAAGAAAGCUCAAACAUGACGCAGUUACAAUCACUAACCCCAUGGCUAAUACAGGUGUUCCACAACUUGUUAAGCCCACAACUUCAGCACAUGCAAAUUCAUUGGGCACUGGUCACACUUCGUGAAAAACGAUAUAGCCUCUGCUGCUCUGCAUACAUAGAUGGGAUAAAGAUGGCUGGCAGAAUGGUUUGUAAGAAAGGAUAUAAGUACAUAGUUCCAUUAUACUAUAAAGGUUUAGAAAAAAAACAUCUAGGCAUAUGGAGCAUUGCUACCACGAAGAUAAUUACCGAUGAUCUACUUUCAUUAACCUUAGAACCAUAUUUGGAAAUGACUAGGUGAAGAAUUUUAUGGCUACGUGACACCACCAAGUGAUCUUGUAACUUGUAAGUAAAUUUCCAGUGAACAUUUGCCAUUCACUAAAACAACUGCCAUUUCUACCAACAAGUCUGUGGCCAUAUUUCAAAUUUAGUUCUAACUCUGUUGUACUAUCAUAUUUAAUCUAUCACAGGUAGACAAAAUCAUGGAUGAGGAGUCGACUGAAAUGAAUGAUUCUGCUCUUAAUUUUUUCUGAACACGCAUGAGAUGUUUCAUUGCAUUAAUAGAAUAAGAGAGUUACUAAAAACGCUUCAAAUUUUUGAAUGUAUUGAUAUGACUUUAUACUCAAAACAUGCAUUUAAUUUAAUUAACUGUUGGUCAAAAUUACAAACUUUUUUUGCAUCAAAAUAUGCUAUAGAAGGUUGAGGAAGGGAGUACAAAAUUCUUUGAUGUGAUGUACAUCAGAUUCCACACCUUUUGUGUAGUAAUUAUAAUUUUCAAGCAAGUUUCUUUUUGAAAACGAUACUAAUCUACCAAUGUUUUGAUGUCAGGCUGACCUUCUAUCCUAUCGCUGUGACUUGACUUGAAAGCUCUCAUCCCAUAUAUCCCUAGAAGCUAUCAGUCCAUUCUGAUGUCUGCAACUUCAGGGUGAGUCCCCCCAGUGCAGUUUCAGAUUUUAGUACUAGUUCGACGCACAGCUCUGUAUGUUCACCAAGGAAUCUAGUCCCCCCCCCCCCGCCCCCAAGAUAAUUUGUGUACAUAUAGGGAGCCUGUUCUUGUUCUCCUGUAGGUAUACGACCAUCAAUUUGGUCUAGACGGACGGACACCGGUAGGUAUACGGCCAUCCAGUGCAGUCUUAUUUCGUCGAGGAGGCGUUAGUCCACAACUCCGUUGGUUCCUGGCCUUGAUUUUUGUUCCUGAUAUUUUUUUUCAGGUCGUCUAGCUACUGUAGUUGCCCAUCGUCAAAGUUUUUAGAGUGUUAGUGUUUUUGGUUGACAGACAUUGGUGCUAGAUUUGGUAUCAGCCUUCCUAAACAGUACCAUUUACUUCAGCUCAAUGAUAUGAAUAAUGCUUGUUUGGAGGACAUAUUGCUAAGAAUCUGCCACAUUAUGUUUGCUUGAGGUAUUAAUUUAUCCAGGUGUUUAAUGCUAGAGUACAGUUAGAAGAUCCCUAAUCAAUUGCUUCUCAUUUCAGUCGUGUAAGUCACUCUGUAAGUUUUGCUACCAUUUUCUGAACUCCAUUGUUCUCCGUAUGAUUUUAUUUGGUCACAUGCUCCUUCAUGUGCUAUUUUGCUUCUUGCAAGUUCUUGUGAUCUUCUGUUCUGGCUCCUUGAUUUCAUACAUGAACCUUUCUACCCUUGUCCUUGAUACCUGAGCAUUUUCAGGUAGCAAGUGUUGGGCGAAGUACAAAGAUACUGGCCAACAAAAACAUGGAGUUUCCGUGUGUUGCAGUAUUCUACACUUGCCUAAUAGUAUUUAUUAAUUGUAGUUAGCAUAUAUGUUUAUACUCACUUGUUGCUGCCAAGAAUAAUACUAAAGUUUUCUAAUAAGUUUCAGUGAUGGAAUUCAUGAAGCACACUGUCUGAAUUUAUAGAGCUUGGUGCCACAAUGAAACUGUGAUAAACCAGCUUUCUUUUUUUCCGAAUGAGCUAGUUUGCCCAGAAUUAAUUGGUCAGGCCGCCGACAUGGUGUUCUGAUAGGAUACAUACAUGUUUUCAUGAACAAAACUAUCAAAAGGCUUUGAAAUAAGAUGGGUUUCGCUCAGCUCGGGCUGGCGCUUCUCUUGGAGUAGCCCUGAGUUUGAGCAGCCUGCUUGUCUCUCGAAAUGACAAAAGGAUUACAAAAUGGUUGAGUGCUCCUGCAGAAACAGACAUACAUGUACGCUGACGAGUGCGGUCCAGCGCCCACUACACCACGCGACACACCAAGACAUAGAAGGUGCUCUUAGAGACAUUGAAAGACCUCUCGGAGGUAUUGAGGGAACUCUGAUCGCUACUGAAGGAGCUCUCAUGGCCAUUGAAUGACCUCUCUUUUCAUGGAAAAAUAGGUAACUUUAUUCAUGCUACGACAGCGACUUUGAGCGAACAUGAGACCACUGAGCUCUGGAGUGAAUGAAGGACGUCGUCUUUGGAAGUCAGACAUCACCUAGAGCUAGGGUGUCCAUUCUUGACAUGUUUCUCUUAGUGAUAGGUGGAUACUGUCUAGUUAGGAACAGAGUCUUGAGGGAUUGAUGGACACAUGCAUCUUCAAUUCUUGUGUGUUGUAUUACUACUGAUACAAUCUCCAAUUCUUGUGAACUUAUGUAUUUGGACUUGUGUGAAUUUGUGAUAUGAACAUAUAUCCAUGUGUUUGAAAUCUGUA